GACGAACGCUGGCGGCGUGCUUAACGCAUGCAAGUCGAACGAAGAGCGAUGGACGCUUGCUUCUAUCAAUCUUAGUGGCGAACGGGUGAGUAACGCGUAAUCAACCUGCCCUUCAGAGGGGGACAACAGUUGGAAACGACUGCUAAUACCGCAUACGAUCUAAUCUCGGCAUCGAGGAUAGAUGAAAGGUGGCCUCUACAUGUAAGCUAUCACUGAAGGAGGGGAUUGCGUCUGAUUAGCUAGUUGGAGGGGUAACGGCCCACCAAGGCGAUGAUCAGUAGCCGGUCUGAGAGGAUGAACGGCCACAUUGGGACUGAGACACGGCCCAGACUCCUACGGGAGGCAGCAGUGGGGAAUCUUCCGCAAUGGACGAAAGUCUGACGGAGCAACGCCGCGUGAGUGAUGACGGCCUUCGGGUUGUAAAGCUCUGUUAAUCGGGACGAAAGGCCUUCUUGCGAAUAGUGAGAAGGAUUGACGGUACCGGAAUAGAAAGCCACGGCUAACUACGUG
rnacentral:rRNA from 1 species